ensembl:snoRNA
AUAUUUUUUGAUUCAUAGUGUAAUGAUUGGGUUUUCAUAUUCAUGUGUGAGAUUUGCCCCCCCAAACCUUGUUAUGAUGUCAGUACAUUGCUCAUAUGACA